AGUGAACGCUGGCGGUAGGCCUAACACAUGCAAGUCGAACGGCAGCACAGUAAGAGCUUGCUCUUACGGGUGGCGAGUGGCGGACGGGUGAGGAAUACAUCGGAAUCUACUUUUUCGUGGGGGAUAGCGUAGGGAAACUUACGCUAAUACCGCAUACGACCUACGGGUGAAAGCAGGGGAUCUUCGGACCUUGCGCGAUUGAAUGAGCCGAUGUCGGAUUAGCUAGUUGGCGGGGUAAAGGCCCACCAAGGCGACGAUCCGUAGCUGGUCUGAGAGGAUGAGCGGCCACAUUGGAACUGAGACACGGUCCAGACUCGUACGGGAGGCAGCAGUGGGGAAUAUUGGACAAUGGGCGGAAGCCUGAUCCAGCCAUACCGCGUGGGUGAAGAAGGCCUUCGGGUUGUAAAGCCCUUUUGUUGGGAAAGAAAAGCAGCAGGGUAAUACCCCGCUGUUCUGACGGUACCCAAAGAAUAAGCACCGGCUAACUUCGUG
rnacentral:rRNA from 1 species